rnacentral:rRNA from 1 species
AACGAACGCUGGCAGCGUGGAUUAGGCAUGCAAGUCGAACGAGAUCCAGAGGGCUUGAUUAUUUCGGUAAGAUUGACCUCUGGUGAGAGUGGCGAAAGGGCGAGUAAUGCACGGGCAACCUACCGUUGAGUUCGGGACAACCUGGCGAAAGGCAGGCUAAUACCGGAUGUGGUACCGAUGGGCAUCCAUUGGGCACCAAAGGCGGGGCUCCUUCGGGACCCGUCGCUCAUCGAGGGGCCCGUGUGCCAUCAGCUUGUUGGUGUGGUAACGGCUCACCAAGGCAUACGGCUAGCUGGUUUGAGAGAACGACCAGCCGCACUGGGACUGAGACACUGCCCAGACUCCUACGGGAGGCUGCAGUCGAGAAUCAUUCGCAAUGGGCGAAAGCCUGACGAUGCGACGCUGCGUGGAGGAUGAAGGCCCUCGGGUCGUAAACUCCUGUCAUGGGGGAAAAAGGCUUCGCCGGUUAAUAGUCGGUGGUGCUUGAUGGUACCCCAAGAGGAAGCCACGGCUAACUCUGUGCCAGCAGCCGCGGUAAUACAGAGG